CUGGUGGGAGGUAAUUGAAUCAUGGGGGCAGUUACCUCCCUGCUGUUCUCAUGAUAGCGAGUGAGUUCUCAUGAGAUCUGAUGGUUUUAUAAGGGAAUUUUCCCCCACUUCACACUGCACGUCUCUUGCUGCCUCCAUGUGAAGAAGGACGUGUUUGCUUCUUCUUCUGCCAUGAUUUUAAGUUUCCUGAGGCCUCCCCAGCCAUGCUGAACUCUUAAAGGGAGCUGAUGCUGGCAAUGGGAUCAGAGUGUUUGUACCUGACAUCGGGAUGUUCAUUGCUAGUCUGACCAUCUGGCUUCUCUGUAGAAACAUUGUUCAGAAACCUGGGACAGACGAAGCAGCACAGAGUAACCUGGAGUUUGAAAAUGAAGAAUUGGCUGGAGGAGAAAAAAUUGAUUCAGAAGAGGCACUGAUCUAUGAAGAGGAUUUCAAUGGAGGAGAUGGUGUUGAAGGCGAGUUGGAAGAAAGCACGAAGUUAAAAAUGUUCCGCAGGCUUGCCUCUGUGGCCUCUAAGCUCAAGGAG
rnacentral:sRNA from 1 species